rnacentral:rRNA from 1 species
UUACCGCGGCGGCUGACACCAGAACUUGCCCACCCCUUAUUCACUAGUGGUUUUAUAACUAGCAAAAGAUCUCUUUAGCAGAAAUCACUCGGACUAACCUUGUCGUGCUUUCGCACAUUGCAAAGUUUUCGCGCCUGCUGCACCCCA